rnacentral:lncRNA from 1 species
UUUCAACAAUGGUAAGGCUAAACAAAGCUCACCUUCCACACAAUUCAUUAUGUACAGUGUCAUUUCGCCUUGAGGGUUAUUGAGAGUGAGUAGGUUUGAUUUUGUGCUGCAGUGAUGCCAUCAGGGAGCAGUGUGUCCUCUUGUUGUGUUAAUUGCUGCUCAAUGAAAUCAUGUAGAUGGACUGUAGCCCUGUUUAAAGCCUCCGGGAAGAAUUGGCUCCCCAGUUAAUAAGCUGUCUAAUAUACUUUGUGCAACGAAGGGGGCUGUUUAGGAAUUCAAAUUAAAGCUAAUAACUUUUGGGAAUCAAGUUAAUCAAUUACACUCAAGGCACUCUGUUCGGAGUUUAAUGGCCGGGAUUUCCUGUUUUUUUUAAGGAGUUAUGAGGAAGUUGGUUGGGAUACAAAGUUACCGCGGCGCCUGAAGGCACCAGAAACAACUCUGGAGAACAUGGCGGACCCAGUGAGUGAGGGUCCCUCAUCGAGGCGCUACAAUAGUCGACCUCAGCUGUGGCAGUCUAUUGGAGCUGAGUGGAACAGGCGGCAGCUUCGAUCGAGGAAUGAUGCCAAGAAACCCAUAUCAUUCUGCAGUGGAUGUCCGAGGUCAGGUCAAAUCCCUCUGUACACUGGUAUGAUCGGCUCUGAGAACAUGCACAACAUCGACAACAUGAACGAAUCCUUUCACCCACUAACCCUGAAGAGGAGCGUCGUGCCCCCGUAUGCGCCCACAGCACGGUAAGACACACUUUUAUGACACACACACACACACAUUCACGUGGAUCUCAAGAGCUCUAUCAAAUCAGCAUGAAAUAUAUUUUGCACUUGAAAUAUUGUUUUAUUGCA